rnacentral:lncRNA from 1 species
AGCUGUGCAGCCAAAACUAUCCUUGCUCAGAUUCACAAUAAAAGACAUAUUUGUGCUUCAGGUGUGGAUCUCUAAUACUACAUCCUUAUCCCACACAGGACAUGCUAUCCAUAAUUGCAGGGAAAGGACGAGAAUCAGAUCACAUAUUCGAAAGUCUACCUGAAAAUUCACACUGGUGCCUCAGAGAGAGGAAUGACAGUGAACAACUCAUUGAAUGGAUUAAAGAAUGUGUGCUUGUAAUAGCAUCUGUCUUGAAGGACUUCAUUGCAAACAUUGAAGGAAGUUUACUUACUUCUGACUUAUAUGAGAAUUGACUUAGCGUCCCAGAUGAAGGAACUCUGGUUGGAAAAAUUAAUGCCAUCCAAAGGUAAUGAUACAGAAAGCACUUGGGGAACUAUACCAAUAUAGAAGCAGUGUUUUUGUAAGGUACAUAGGCUUGUGUUUACAGUAUUAUAAGCUGGAGUGAUGUCCCAUGCCAAGAGGUUUCCUUAGCACAGACACGUAUUGUCACUUUUUAAACACGUUCAUUUCUCAAACUAGAGUGUUGAACCAUGUCUGUAAUCCCACCUGGGUGUCUUCUCCUUUAUAACUGUCACAGUUUAGAAGACAGCCUAUGCAACACCUUGUGUGCAGGUCAGCGUAGAGUAUUGGUUUAGUUCCUGUGUGAAACAAAUUAAAAGAAGGAGGUGUGUAUAAUACCUGUGGAUUAUUUGCAUCCUAGUAUUAUUACCAUGUUACUGUGAAUAUACCACAUGCUAAAUAUAUGUCAUUGAUUAGAACAUGAAGCUAUUACUGAAUACUUCUUUCUCAGAUAUAACUA